UAGGGAAUAGUAUAGUGGAAGUACGUGGGGUUUUGAGCCCCUUGGUGCAGGUUCAAAUCCUUUUUUUCUA
rnacentral:tRNA from 1 species